CCUACGGGUGGCAGCAGUGAGGAAUAUUGGUCAAUGGGCGGAAGCCUGAACCAGCCAAGUCGCGUGAGGGAAUAAGGCCCUACGGGUCGUAAACCUCUUUUGCCGGGGAGCAAGGGCGGGGACGUGUCCCGGCCCGGAGAGUACCCGGAGAAAAAGCAUCGGCUAACUCCGUGCCAGCAGCCGCGGUAAUACGGAGGAUGCGAGCGUUAUCCGGAUGUAUUGGGUUUAAAGGGUGCGUAGGCGGGCUUUUAAGUCAGCGGUAAAAAUUCGUGGCUCAAACCCGUCCGGCCGUUGAAACUGGGGGCCUUGAGUGGGCGAGAAGAAGGCGGAAUGCGUGGUGUAGCGGUGAAAUGCUUAGAUAUCACGAAGAACUCCGAUUGCGAAGGCAGCCUGCUGGACUGUAACUGACGCUGAUGCUCGAAAGUGUGGGUAUCAAACAGGAUUAGAUACCCGGGUAGUC
rnacentral:rRNA from 1 species